AGUGAACGCUGGCGGUAGGCCUAACACAUGCAAGUCGAACGGCAGCAUAGUAAGAGCUUGCUCUUACGGGUGGCGAGUGGCGGACGGGUGAGGAAUACAUCGGAAUCUACUUUUUCGUGGGGGAUAACGUAGGGAAACUUACGCUAAUACCGCAUACGACCUACGGGUGAAAGCAGGGGAUCUUCGGACCUUGCGCGAUUGAAUGAGCCGAUGUCGGAUUAGCUAGUUGGCGGGGUAAAGGCCCACCAAGGCGACGAUCCGUAGCUGGUCUGAGAGGAUGAUCAGCCACACUGGAACUGGGACACGGUCCAGACUCCUACGGGAGGCAGCAGUGGGGAAUAUUGGACAAUGGGCGCAAGCCUGAUCCAGCCAUACCGCGUGGGUGAAGAAGGCCUUCGGGUUGUAAAGCCCUUUUGUUGGGAAAGAAAAGCAGCAGGUUAAUACCCCGCUGUUCUGACGGUACCCAAAGAAUAAGCACCGGCUAACUUCGUG
rnacentral:rRNA from 1 species